rnacentral:rRNA from 1 species
AUGAUAGCAUUCAGGGAUACCUUGGAGGUGUGUGAACUAAUCGAUCUUGGGUUCACGGGCCUGCCUUUCACAUAUGAUAAUAGAAGAGCGAGGUCGGCAAACGUCAAGGUGAGAUUGGACCGUGCGGUAGCUACAAAUGAUUGGCGAAAUUUGUUCACGUUUGCUGCAGUGGAACACAUACCGUCUCCAUGUUCAUACCACCUAGUUCUGUUUCUUAAAGGAGAACCGGACCCGGGUCCGGUGAAGGAGAAGUGUAGGAGGUAUGAGGUUUUUUGGGAGAGGGAUUCGGAGUUGCCACAAGUGGUGGAAGAUGCAUGGGUGGCGGUAGGAGAGAUUCACAGCCUCCCGCAGCUGAAAGAAGCUUUGGCAAAAACAAUGACUGCGUUACGGUCAUGGAGU